UUAACUAUUAUAUAGUACUCAGACAAUAAUAUAAACAUGAGUUUUAGAUCCUCUGGCAGGCGCUGACCAGCUGGAGCCGGUUGUCUUGCGACGGGCCUGCCAAAGCAACAAUGGUAUGUAAACAAAGGGUGGAGUAGUAGACCGAAGUCUCUAGACUCUUUAAUGAUCCUUCCGCAGGUUCACCUACGGAAA
rnacentral:misc_RNA from 1 species